rnacentral:rRNA from 1 species
GGUUGACCUCGGAUCAGGUAGGGAUACCCGCUGAACUUAAGCAUAUCAAUAAGCGGAGGAAAAGAAACCAACAGGGAUUGCCUCAGUAACGGCGAGUGAAGCGGCAACAGCUCAAAUUUGAAAUCUGGCUCCCCUGGGGGUCCGAGUUGUAAUUUGUAGAGGAUGCUUCGGGCAAGGCUGCGGUCUAAUUCGCUUGGAACAGCGGGUCACAGAGGGUGAGAAUCCCGUCUAGGACCGCGUGCCGCGUCCAUGCGAAGCUCCUUCGACGAGUCGAGUUGUUUGGGAAUGCAGCUCUAAAUGGGUGGUAAAUUUCAUCUAAAGCUAAAUAUUGGCCAGAGACCGAUAGCGCACAAGUAGAGUGAUCGAAAGAUGAAAAGCACUUUGAAAAGAGAGUUAAACAGUAUGUGAAAUUGUUGAAAGGGAAGCGCUUGCAAUCAGACUUGAGUGGGGCGGUUCCCCCGGUCUCCUGACCGGGCUAUUCCGUCAUCUCCAGGCCAGCAUCGGUCUGGGUGGUCGGUUAAAGGCCCCGGGAAUGUAUCUACCUUCGGGUCGACUUAUAGCCCGGGGCGCAAUGCGGCCCACCCGGACCGAGGUACGCGCUUCGGCUCGGAUGCUGGCGUAAUGGUUGCAAGCGGCCCGUCUUGAAACACGGACCAAGGAGUCUAACAUCUAUGCGAGUGUUUGGGUGUCAAACCCCUACGCGUAAUGAAAGUGAACGGUGGUAAGAACCCCGUCCAGGGGCGCAUUAUCGACCGAUCCUGAUGUCUUCGGAUGGAUUUGAGUAAGAGCAUAGCUGUUGGGACCCGAAAGAUGGUGAACUAUGCCUAGAUAGGGUGAAGCCAGAGGAAACUCUGGUGGAGGCUCGCAGCGGUUCUGACGUGCAAAUCGAUCGUCAAAUCUGGGUAUAGGGGCGAAAGACCAAUCGAACCAUUGAGAAUAUUGGGUCAAAAAAGCUACCGGGUGGUUCUUUAACAGUCCUUUGGGGCUACAUCGUCCUUCUGGCGGGGAUCAACACCCGCAGCAGCCUCGGCUGUCCACAGACUAGGAGACGGUGGUCAUCUUGACGAAAAGAUGAUGAUGAUAUAGUCGGUCGUGGUCGUGCUCCUUGACCACGGUAGACGCUGGUAGCUGGUUCCUGUCGAAGUUUCCCUCAGGAUAGCAGUAACGUCUUCAGUUUUAUGAGGUAAAGCGAAUGAUUAGAGGCCUUGGGGUUGAAACAACCUUAACCUAUUCUCAAACUUUAAAUAUGUAAGAAGUCCUCGUUACUUAAUUGAACGUGGACAUUUGAAUGUAUCGUUACUAGUGGGCCAUUUUUGGUAAGCAGAACUGGCGAUGCGGGAUGAACCGAACGUGAGGUUAAGGUGCCGGAAUGUACGCUCAUCAGACACCACAAAAGGUGUCAAUGCAUCCAGACAGCCGGACGGUGGCCAUGGAAGUCGGAAUCCGCUUAGGAGUGUGUAACAACUCACCGGCCGAAUGCAUUGGCCCUGAAAAUGGAUGGCGCUUAAGCGUGCUACCUAUACCUCGCCGUUGGGGUUGAAAUGAUGCCCCAACGAGUAGGCAGG